AGCGAACGCUGGCGGCAGGCCUAACACAUGCAAGUCGAACGGAUCCCUCGGGGAUUAGUGGCGGACGGGUGAGUAACACGUGGGAACGUGCCUUUUGGUUCGGAACAACUCAGGGAAACUUGAGCUAAUACCGGAUGUGCCCUUCGGGGGAAAGGAUUUAUCGCCAUUAGAGCGGCCCGCGUCUGAUUAGCUAGUUGGUGGGGUAAAGGCCUACCAAGGCAACGAUCAGUAGCUGGUCUGAGAGGAUGAUCAGCCACAUUGGGACUGAGACACGGCCCAAACUCCUACGGGAGGCAGCAGUGGGGAAUCUUGCGCAAUGGGCGAAAGCCUGACGCAGCCAUGCCGCGUGAAUGAUGAAGGUCUUAGGAUUGUAAAAUUCUUUCACCGGGGACGAUAAUGACGGUACCCGGAGAAGAAGCCCCGGCUAACUUCGUGCCAGCA
rnacentral:rRNA from 1 species